UUAUUUGAGAGUUUGAUCCUGGCUCAGGAUGAACGCUGGCGGCGUGCCUAACACAUGCAAGUUGAGCGAUUUACUUCGGUAAAGAGCGGCGGACGGGUGAGUAACGCGUGGGUAACCUACCCUGUACACACGGAUAACAUACCGAAAGGUAUGCUAAUACGGGAUAAUAUAUUUGAGAGGCAUCUCUUGAAUAUCAAAGGUGAGCCAGUACAGGAUGGACCCGCGUCUGAUUAGCUAGUUGGUAAGGUAACGGCUUACCAAGGCGACGAUCAGUAGCCGACCUGAGAGGGUGAUCGGCCACAUUGGAACUGAGACACGGUCCAAACUCCUACGGGAGUAUGCUAAUACGGGAUAAUAUAUUUGAGAGGCAUCUCUUGAAUAUCAAAGGUGAGCCAGUACAGGAUGGACCCGCGUCUGAUUAGCUAGUUGGUAAGGUAACGGCUUACCAAGGCGACGAUCAGUAGCCGACCUGAGAGGGUGAUCGGCCACAUUGGAACUGAGACACGGUCCAAACUCCUACGGGAGGCAGCAGUGGGGAAUAUUGCACAAUGGGCGAAAGCCUGAUGCAGCAACGCCGCGUGAGUGAUGAAGGCCUUCGGGUCGUAAAACUCUGUCCUCAAGGAAGAUAAUGACGGUACUUGAGGAGGAAGCCCCGGCUAACUACGUGCCAGCAGCCGCGGUAAUACGUAGGGGGCUAGCGUUAUCCGGAUUUACUGGGCGUAAAGGGUGCGUAGGCGGUCUUUCAAGUCAGGAGUGAAAGGCUACGGCUCAACCGUAGUAAGCUCUUGAAACUGGGAGACUUGAGUGCAGGAGAGGAGAGUGGAAUUCCUAGUGUAGCGGUGAAAUGCGUAGAUAUUAGGAGGAACACCAGUUGCGAAGGCGGCUCUCUGGACUGUAACUGACGCUGAGGCACGAAAGCGUGGGGAGCAAACAGGAUUAGAU
rnacentral:rRNA from 1 species